UACAGAGGGGGCAAGCGUUAUUCGGAAUUAUUGGGCGUAAAGAGCUCGUAGGCGGUCUGUCGCGUCUGCUGUGAAAACUCAGGGCUUAACCCUGAGCUUGCAGUGGGUACGGGCAGACUAGAGUGCGGUAGGGGAGACUGGAAUUCCUGGUGUAGCGGUGAAAUGCGCAGAUAUCAGGAGGAACACCGGUGGGCGAAGGCGGGUCUCUGGGCCGUAAACUGACG
rnacentral:rRNA from 1 species